UACCAGCACCCCGAGUGGUCGGGACGAUUAUUGGGCCUAAAGCAUCCGUAGCCGGUUCUACAAGUCUUCCGUUAAAUCCACCUGCUUAACAGAUGGGCUGCGGAGGAUACUAUAGAGCUAGGAGGCGGGAGAGGCAAGCGGUACUUAGUGGGUAGGGGUAAAAUCCGUUGAUCCAUUGAAGACCACCAGUGGCGAAGGCGGCUUCCUGGACUAAUACUGACGCUGAGGUGCGAAAGCGUGGGGAGCAAACAGG
rnacentral:rRNA from 1 species